AUGCCGUUCUUGGUACUGAAGACUGAGGGCCGGUCUUGCCCAUCCUGGGGUGAUGAGCAGGUACACACCUCUGAGGUAUUUCUGGGUUGGAUAUUUAUUUGUUGUAUGCUCCAACCAGUUUUUUGGAGCUCUUUCUGGCGUGGCUUCCACUCAGCAUUCAAGGAAAAGGGCACUUUGGAAGAUACAUUCUUUCUCAUUUCUAAGGGAACAAGGAAGAGAUGGAGGCAGAGGAAGAGAGACUCAUUGUUCAUCUUGCGUUUAGUCACUGCUAUUUCCACAUGCUUUAUGGGGUAGAGAUCAAAUACACCAUUCUCCAUGCUAAG
rnacentral:lncRNA from 1 species